UCACUGUUCAUUCAGGAUUUUGCGCCUAUAUAGAGACUGUUCGUUUCUGCGGACUAUGGUGAUAAAUUGUGAUGUGCAAUAGACACAGCGGACCCGGGGGCAGUACCCGGCGGCUCCACCAUCUAUUUCGUUUCGGCGAAGUAAUUGAAGGGGCCGAACCAGGAUCGACGUGUGUUCAAAAGCAUUAUUUUUGCCCGGCCUGAGUAUGCCGUGAUUGCUCGCAAACUAUAAGUGCAAACGAUAAUGAAGCACUCGCUAUUGCUGCCUAACCCAUUGAUCGCAAGAUCAUAAGUUAGAAAGCUAAUGCGCGGUUGAACCCACCGGGCAACAGAAGGGAAUUCAGCGGUUUUGGGCGCACCGGGCAACAGAAGCGUCCUACU
rnacentral:tmRNA from 1 species